rnacentral:rRNA from 1 species
GACUCUCGGCAACGGAUAUCUCGGCUCUCGCAUCGAUGAAGAACGUAGCGAAAUGCGAUACUUGGUGUGAAUUGCAGAAUCCCGCGAACCAUCGAGUCUUUGAACGCAAGUUGCGCCCGAAGCCUUUAGGCCGAGGGCACGUCUGCCUGGGCGUCA